rnacentral:rRNA from 1 species
GUGAGGAAUAUUGGUCAAUGGGCGAGAGCCUGAACCAGCCAAGUCGCGUGAAGGAAGAAGGAUCUAUGGUUCGUAAACUUCUUUUGCAGGGGAAUAAAGUGCAGGACGUGUCCUGUUUUGUAUGUACCCUGAGAAUAAGGAUCGGCUAACUCCGUGCCAGCAGCCGCGGUAAUACGGAGGAUCCGAGCGUUAUCCGGAUUUAUUGGGUUUAAAGGGUGCGUAGGUGGUUUGAUAAGUCAGCGGUGAAAGUUUGCAGCUUAACUGUAAAAAUGCCGUUGAAACUGUCGGACUUGAGUGUAAAUGAGGUAGGCGGAAUGCGUUGUGUAGCGGUGAAAUGCAUAGAUAUCACGCAGAACUCCGAUUGCGAAGGCAGCUUACUAAGCUACAACUGACACUGAAGCACGAAAGCGUGGGGAUCAAACAGGAUUAGAAACCCUGGUAGUCC